rnacentral:rRNA from 1 species
UACGUAGGGACCGAGCGUUGUCCGGAUUCAUUGGGCGUAAAGAGCUCGUAGGCGGCUGUUCAAGUCGAACGUGAAAACUCGGAGCUCAACUCCGAGCCUGCGUUCGAUACUGGACGGCUAGAGUCUGGUAGGGGGGAUCUGGAAUUCCUGGUGUAGCGGUGGAAUGCGCAGAUAUCAGGAGGAACACCGGUGGCGAAGGCGGAUCUCUGGGCCGUAACUGACGCUGAGGAGCGAAAAGCAUGGGGGAGCGAACAG